GACGAACGCUGGCGGCGUGCCUAAUACAUGCAAGUCGAACGAACCGCGACUGAGUGCUUGCACUUGGUCAAGGUGAGUGGCGAACGGGUGAGUAACACGUGGGUAACCUACCUCAUAGUGGGGGAUAACAGUCGGAAACGACUGCUAAUACCGCAUAGGACAUAGGAUCACAUGAUCCAGUGAGGAAAGGUGGCGCAAGCUAUCACUAAGAGAUGGACCCGCGGUGCAUUAGCUAGUUGGUAGGGUAAAGGCCUACCAAGGCGAUGAUGCAUAGCCGACCUGAGAGGGUGAUCGGCCACAUUGGGACUGAGACACGGCCCAAACUCCUACGGGAGGCAGCAGUAGGGAAUCUUCCGCAAUGGACGCAAGUCUGACGGAGCAACGCCGCGUGAGUGAAGAAGGUCUUCGGAUCGUAAAGCUCUGUUGUUAGAGAAGAACAGCGCAUAGAGUAACUGCUAUGCGUGUGACGGUAUCUAACCAGAAAGCCACGGCUAACUACGUG
rnacentral:rRNA from 1 species